rnacentral:rRNA from 1 species
UUAUACGGUCAUAUCACGUUGGAUGUAUCGGUUCUCGACCGAUCACCGAAGUUAGGCAACGUCGAACCUAGUUAGUACUUAGAGUAACCGCAUGGGAAACCUAAUGCUGUGAGCG